rnacentral:lncRNA from 1 species
AUGGCCAAGUCAAUGGUAUCGAAGAGGGAAGAAGUCCAGCAAUGUAUUUCAUAUAUCCAGUUAAAAAAACUUUAGGGUUCAAAACAAAGCAAAACCAAUUACCACUAAUCUUGUAAACAAUUUAAACACUGAAAAAGUUAGCAGAGUGAAUAAAGUUUUUAUACAUAUACAGAAAAAAACUUGCUCAUUUCUCAAAAGGCCUUUCCCUUGAACCUCUGCAGAAACAGCUGAUUCCUCAGCAGCAUCAUGAGAACAAACCAGUUAAUGAUGGUUAAUAAAACUAUAAGAUUAGUGGCUCAGCUGUAA